GAUUUGAAAAACAAUACCAGAAGAUUUUUUCGUGUUUUGAAGCGAAAAGUUGUAAAUUCCGAAGAAUUAUUGCCGUUUCGAGGAGGUAUGCGCUGAUUGCAGCCGCCGAUUGGUCGAAAUCCGCCAGUAGUGCCAUGUGCCGAGGACUAAAGAACUAAAUAUUCAGACCGACAGUCGACAGCGUUCUGAGUCAGAGCAGACGAAAUUACUUGUCCGGUCGGAGGUGUGGAGAGGUGAAUCCAGUUCUAUUUUGGCCGUCGUAGCUGCUCAGUCGACUCGUAACAUCUAUACAUCGUUAAUAGUUUCUUACUAGUGCACGAAACUCUCGGAUAAAACUCAAUUCAACGUGUAAUGGCUUUAUUGCGAUCUGUGGUAAAUACUAGUGCGAAUAAAAAGUAUGGUUUUUUGUUCGGUACCUUAAAAAGAGGCAAAUUCGGUAGGAUUGAUGUGAAUAAAUUGGUUUUGAAGUCCACUUCUACCUGUUAUACGACGGCAGCCACUACCCAGGUGCAACCUGCACAAUUUUCCGAUACCCUCGAUGUCUCAUUCAGCGAUGCAAGAGCCGCCUUCAAGAGUAAAACAAAUUGGGAGCUCAUUAGGGCAUACCUCGUCUACGCGUUAUGUUCUUUCGACUACCUUGUGGAGCAUAACAUGAAGCUCAUGAAACUGGCACAGGCCGUGUUCGGCGAGAAGGUCUUCAUAAAGAUGAUGCGGGGUACAUUCUACGGCCAUUUCGUGGCCGGCGAAGACGAGAUACGCAUAAGGCCGACCCUGGAGAGACUGAGAUCGUUCGGAGUGAAACCGAUCCUGGAUUACUCCGUUGAAGAGGAUUUGUCGCAGGAAGAAGCAGAGAAACUUGAGGUCGAAGCAUCGGUUCCCGAGUCCGGUGAUACGAUCGAAAAGGGCGACCUGAAACAAUACCACGUAGAUAGGACGUUCGCGGAUCGUCGUUACAAGGUACAGUCGGCCCGUACCUACUUCUACCUCAACGAGGCCACGUGCGAGAGGAACAUGGAAACCUUCAUCAAAUGUCUGGCAGCCAUCAAAGAUUCAACAUACGGAACGGGCAUCACAGCCAUCAAACUCACGGCCUUAGGUAGACCUCAACUAUUGCUGCAACUGUCAGAAGUAAUCAUGAGGACGCGUAAGAUAAUGGCGGACAUCGUAGGCGGCGGAGGAAACGUACUCUCUCACCACAUGCGACCGGAGAUGCUGGAGAAGAAGUUCGCCGACGCCAAUUUCAGAGACAUGGACGGCGUUAGGGAGUUCCUCAAGAAGGUCACAUACGACAAGGAAGGAAUCCUCCAUCUGUUCCCGUGGUCCGGCAUCGUCGACGACAACAAAGAACUGAGCAGCACCUUCAGGAUACCCGACCUGAAGGAAGGCCGUAUGGUCAGACUGAUCAAGCAUCUGUCGCCCAAGGAGGAGGAGAUGUUCAGGAACAUGAUCAGGAGGCUCACCACGAUAGUGAGCGCGGCCAGAGAGAUGGACGUGCGCAUCAUGGUAGACGCCGAACAGACCUAUUUCCAGCCAGCAAUAGCCCGUAUCACGUUGGAGUUCAUGAGGAAGUUCAACAAGGAGAAGGCGAUCGUCUUCAACACCUACCAGUGCUACCUGAAGAACGCCCUCAAUGAGGUGUCCACCGAUUUGGAACAGGCCAAACGUCAGAACUUUUAUUUCGGCGCCAAACUAGUCAGAGGCGCGUACAUAGAACAGGAAAGAGCCAGGGCGGCCGCCUUGGGCUACGAAGACCCCACCAACCCGAACUUCGAGGAAACGUCCGAGAUGUACCACAAGACCCUGUCCGAGUGCCUGAGGAGGAUCAAGGAGUUCAAGGACAAGGGCGAGGACAAGAAGAUCGCCAUCAUGGUCGCGUCCCAUAACGAGGACACCGUCAGGUUCGCCAUCGAGAAGAUGAAGGAGCUGGGCAUCCAGCCCAACGAGAAGGUCAUCUGUUUCGGUCAGCUGUUGGGCAUGUGCGACUACAUAACCUUCCCCCUAGGUCAGUCAGGAUACUCAGCAUACAAAUAUAUCCCCUACGGCCCUGUGAAAGAAGUUCUCCCCUACUUGUCCAGACGAGCACAGGAGAACAAGGGCAUUUUACAGAAAAUCCAGAAAGAAAAGAAACUUCUUUUGUCAGAAAUCAUCCGUCGUUUAGGAACUGGAAGGUUGUUCUAUACUCCGAAGGGAAAUUAUGUCCCAGUAUAAGGUAACAAAAACAACCGUAGACAUGGAGAAUAGACAGAGAGACGUGUGAAUUUGUAGAAAGAUGGAAGGGAACGAAUCUGCAAAUUCUUUCCGUUGUAUCCGUAAGAAAGAAGUAUGUCCAGGAAACGCCCGUUAACUGUGUACAGCUUUUUCAAUAAACCUUGUAGAUACUUAGUCAAAAAAAUGAUUUUUCGUAUUCUUAUUUUUGUGAUUCAAGGUUGUUCAGUAAACUCGAAUUAGAAAAGCUUACAUAGAUUAAUUUUAUCGGGACAUAAAAACCAUGUACAGUAUUUGUGUAAAAACUCUCUGAAAAAUAAAAUAGAUUAUUACUA